GCAGCCUUCAGGCUCUGAGCUGUCAGCACAGAGCCCGACGCGGGGCUCAAACUCAUGGAGCGUGAGAUCGUAACCUGAGCUGAAGUCAGACGCUUAACCGACUGAGCCACCCAGGCGCCUCAUGGAGCCCUUUAUUCUUGCAAGGAGCUAACUCUAUGAAUACCUUUCCCUCUGGCACUUUGUCAUUUUGGUUGCUUAUCAUGGUAGAAAUUAUUUUUAUGGGGGCGCUUGGGUGGUUCAGUCAGUUAAGCAUCCAACUCUUGAUCUCAGCUCAGGCCUUGAUCUCAGGGUCAUGAGUUCAAGCCCCUCAUUGGGCUCCAUGCUGGGCUUGAAGCUUACUUUUUUAAAAAAACAAAAAUUAUUAUUAUGUGGUGCAAUUCUUAAAUCUCCCCUUGUAUGGCUUCUAGGUUUUGUGUCACAAUUAGGACAUCCUAGUGAGAUGAUUUUGAAAGUACCUGGUAACAAGGCAUGAAGCCAAGGUGGAUUGGAAUAUGGAUGGACCUAGUGAAACUCACAAGGAUCACCAAGAUACAUUUAAGAAGCCACCUUCCAAAUGAUCCAGACUGAAUUUGAAGUCCACAGCUACACUAAUAACAGAUCGUUGGAGCUUUGUUUCAAAAAGAGAAAGGGCUGGGGCGCCUGGGUGCCUCAGUUGGCUGUGCGUCAGACUUCGGCUUAGGUGGUGAUUUCACGGAUCAUGAAUUUGAGCCCUGCAUCUGUGGUCAGCACAGAGCCUGCUUCAGAUCCUCUGUCCCCCCGCCUCUCUGCCCCUCCCCUGCUUGAGUGCUUUCUCUCUAAAAAAAUAAAACAUGAAAAAAAUGCUAAAUAGCUUAUGUGUAAGUCUCAAUAAAAUCUCAGUGGCUAAUUAUUCUUCCUCAUAUUCCAUGUACAGAGCUGCCUCUUUUCAAUUUAAUUCAAAACUAAUUAUAAAUAACUUUUGCUAGUUUAGGAUAAUUCCCCAUAUUAUCUGUAGCACUUAGAACAGUGCUGAAAACAUGUAGGUGGCCAAAAAUAAGACGAAUGAAGAACCACGCACACACACACACACAGAAAUAUUUAAAGGGAAAAAAACCAGUCAACAACCUAGGCAAGACUAUUAGAUUUUAUUCUUUCCUGGUACUCUUAUAGCUCAACUUCACCAUGUAACAAGCCAGACUUCCUGAAUAACAACUCUUUUCCAGGCUAUAACCCUUCUCAGGAGACAGAAUUUAUCAAGUAUCAUGGUUCCAGGAUGUUUUCACCCCAGAAUUCUAAACCAGUUACAGAAUCGUAUCUUCUUAGGUCUUAAUUGGAAUCAAACAAUCUAGGCACAUGUAACAUAAUCAAAAUAGCAUAUACCAUUUCUUUCCUUCCCUUGUGGAAAGCACAUUCCUCUUUUCCCCCAAAGGGUUUGUUAUGAAGAGAUGUUUGAGUGUCACGUUUUCCAAGAAACCUGUCUACCAGUUCAAAUUCUUGGCUCAGAAUAAGGUAUCGCUUAUUCAAGAAAAUUUAAUAAAUAUUCUGAUCUAAUUGUUCUCAGACAUGGACAAAUUUGUUUUACACGCAACUUAGCUUUGCUUUCAAUAACUACUUGCAAAAGUCAAACCCUAUUUUUAAAAUAUCUUACAAUUUUCCUUAGGACUUGGGAGAGCAGGGAAGGAUGAGGAAGGGAGUUGGCUUAUUUUUUAGUAGGACAUUCUGAAGAGGGCAGAUAUUUACUUUUGAAGUCAUUAAGUGGAUAAACUGUCAAGUGUUUCUCUUGUUCUGAUAUUGAAAACAUUUAUAGCCCAGGGCCUUUCUGGUCCUGAAACUAUAAUAAAUUAUAAUAUUGUUUUAAGUACAUUCAAAAUUUAUAUUACUCUUUAAUUUCUUUUCCCUGAGUUUGGGUUCACAGUUUGGUAGAGAUACUUGAAAGAGGUAGUUAGUGGGGGUGAAGAGGAAACAAUGUUUAUGUCUAGCAGCACCCAGGGAAAAUAUAUAAUAUCUAUUAUUUUGAUCUCAGGUAACAUUUAUCUUUCCCCCUUGAAUCUGCACAAUAGAGGGAGAUAAUCAUUUUCCUUUUCUUAUCUGUUGGACUCUCUCUCCUAUUAUAUUCACCCCAGUAUUAUUAUCACUAUUCAUAAAAAUGAAUAGCCCCUCCAAAGACAAGCUACAGAAUUAAGGCUUCAAGGUGGGAUUGUUUAGAUUUAGAAGAGAGGGGCUCAACUGAGUAACUUUUAUUCAUAGUCAUUAGGGAAAAUGAGCAAAAUUUCCAGGACCCCCAACUACUCACUGCCUUUUCUCCCUGGACCUGGUUUAUUUAAAUCAUUGCUAUCAAUUCUGGAGUUGAUUCUAAGGUCUGGGUUUUAGGAAAUCUUGACAUCUAACGCAGGUACAGACACUGGUCCAGGCCUUGGCUUCCAGUCUUACGAUGGGCUGGCGGAAUACUGUUUCAUCAGAUGCUCAUGGCAGGGAUUGCAAACUCGCUCAGGCUUGAUACUCGAGGGAAGAGGCAGUUCAUUUGUUGAGCAGGCAUCACAGAACGUUCCUCUGCAGUUCUUACACAUAUUCUACAAGGAGAAGAGGAGGUUAGGUGGGGGAUAGAGGAGCAGGCCAUAUAGAUGCAUGGAACAGAAAAGGCCAAAUAUGGUAAGUGCUCAAUACCUAAUUAUUGACUAAUGUCUGCUAUGUGCCAGAUAGUAUCUGACCAAACACAGUUUCUGUCUACAAGGAAGCCUGUCUAGUUCUUAGAUCUAAAUGAAGAGAAGCAGUGCCACAGAAUUCAAAAGAACAAAUAAUACACAAAUUGCUUACUUUUAGAAUGUUCCCACCCAUUAUAUUCACUUUUAUGUGGGCUAAUUCUAAAAUUAGUUUGCAAGUACUUAAGAAUACUCCAAAUAAGGCGGGCAGGCAGUGAGUGACCUAGCCAUGGACUGGGUAGCGGUAGCCAGCCUAGGAUUAAAAAACUUGCUGAGCAUGAAGUGAAAGUAGAAUUCUUAAUACACUGAUGUGCUUAAUGCUUCCCUGUAAUACUCUACAGACAUAUCUUUUGGGAUAUCAGCGCAGCAGGAGCACAGCUUCCCUACAUCCUCUUUAUAGGGAAAUCAGUCUCUUUAUUAAGCAUUUUGAAUAUUUAGUGGCCAUGCAAUGGGACAGCACGUGGGUCAUUAUGGCAGUGUCACUGGUAAGGCUGUGUGGUAGGGUGGCACACACAUAGCUCCAAGGGUCCCUAGUAAAGGCUGUGAAGAGUAAUUCCCCCCAUUAAUAAUGCUGCUUUCUCCCAAACAAUUCACCUUCCCGAGGAUGCAGCAGAGGUAGGGGGUCACUUUUAUUUGAAAGCCCGAGAGGAAUUUUCCUGACAUAUUGUAGUUACUGUGCAGAAUUAGAAAAGCCAGAAUUAGAUUCUCUUCCAGAAACAGACAUUAUUUCUGUAAUUCCAACUCUAUAAAGGCAGUUCAUCUUUAUCUGAUUCUGUUAAGACUAGGUCAUAUUAUAGUUUUGCUUGUUAAAAUUCAGCAUGAUCACAAAGGGUGGCAUAGAGGCUUCAAAGGCAGAAUUCGGCACAUUUCCUCAUCUCUUCCAAGCACUUGUUUCUUACAGUCAUUUGCCCAUUUCUUGAACAUCUAUGAACUGGGGACCACAUGACAUGUGGGUGGGGGGAUGGAUACUACUAUGAGCAGGUCAAAGACCUGGCUACCAGAACACUUGCUGUAUCUGAACACUUCCUUCACUCUGCCUACUCUAGCAAACUGGGGAAGCGCUCAAGCAGAGACCCUUGAGGAUCCGAGGGGAAAACAAGUGGUUUUGGUGGAGAGAGCUCAUUUCCCUCUCAGAGGCUGAUUCUCCAAAUAAUUCAAAGAAUCUCCCUUCCCCAAAACUGUCUGAUUUGUUCUAAGCAGGAUGGAGUACUGGAAGAGUACAGACUUUGGGGCCAAAGUCAGGCUGCAGCUGGGCCUUGCCACUCAUGACUUGAGUAACUUUGAGAAAUGUGCUUCACAUCUCUGAGCCCAAGGUUCAUCUACAAAAUGAUGUCACAGAGGAGAUAAGCUUUACAACAGGGACUUGGUCUACGCUUUGCUCAUGACUCUUUCUCCAGCACACGAGAUAGCACAUUCUACACAGCAGGCACUCAAUAAACAUUUAUAAAUUUGUUUUAAAUUCUUUAUAUUUGUGUUCAUGGGGAUUUACUGACAUGACAUACUAUGACUGAAAAAAAUGGGUACACAAUAAAUGCUUGCUCCUUUUGCUUUUUCUCCCCACUCUGCCCUCUACACAGCAAAGUCCCUGUUACUGAAAGGGACUAGUGGUGUAACGGACAUCCUGGUGAAGAACCUGUUUGGUUCUCAGCAUCGUUACCUUUGCAAGGCGGCCGUCUUGCUGGCACAGCUGACACAUCUGUGGCUUUGCAGAGAGCAGCGGCUGGUCCUAAACCACAUAUUGAGCCAGUUAGUUUCUCUUGGUCUCAGAAACAUGAAUACUUUCAGAAUACUCAUUUUUUUUAAGUUACAAAAUUAACACAACCACACUACAGGCUAUCUGGAAACUAAAGAAACAAAUUGUAUACGGUCCUCGUGCCUUAAUACAACUCUACUAAUCCUAUCACUAUCCUUGGAGCUCUUUUCACUUUUAUAAUAAAGUAACAUGUGAUUUCAGUUAUAAAAAGAAAAUUCAAGUAUACAAGUAUGAAGUAAGAAGUUUUAAAAAGCCCCAUCCCUCUUUUCCUAUCAUAUCAACAGGAAUAGAAAGCAAUAUUCUAUUUUGCUUUUUUUUUCUUUUUUUAAAUUCCUAACAGAUAAAUGAAAGGGGUGACUCAGUCAUAGCAGCCUGUGUCUUCUUUCUCAUGGGUUGUCAUAUCCUAUUAUAUAUGCAAAGUAUCUUACAACCAUUUAUAUUUGUUUAUUUCCAAGUGAGCAAGAAGUAUUUUUUCUGUUUUAUAGAAGAGAAAACUAAGGGAAGAGGAGGCACUCUCUUAGGUCAAAGAGAAUUUCUAAGAAGUGAGACGUGCCAUUUCCUUAGUAAAUUGCUCAGAGCUGUGCUACUUCCUGUGAGAGUUUCAGGCCAAUGCGUGUUUGUUGAGGAUACUGUUAAAAGGACGGGGCACAGAGGCCUGUGUGCAUUCAUCUACUUCCCGUGCUGCCUGUGUUCAGCUAGGAAUGGGACAGCCAACUACAUCAUUUACAUGAGACGUUUGAGAACAGGAGACUCGGUUACCUGUUCAUUCGCAGGGGGAGACGGCAGCCUACAAUGGAAAAUUAAAAACAGUAACAAACAGCAACUUAUUGUAUUUCCAUGUGAAUCAUUUCAAAAGCAAAGAAAAAUCAUUACCAUGGUUCUUUUAUGUUGUUGGGACUGACAUAAUUAUUAAUCUUGACCUCCAAGGAGAAGCAAUUUUUGUAGUUAAACCUAUUACUAGAAUCUGAUCCUUGACCUACAUUAUGGUUCCUGUUUAAAAAUGGAUUUGGAGUUACAUUUGUUGUUUUCUUUUUACUGCCAAGAAAAUAGCACUUGUAUCCCAGCCUAUAAAACUCCAAUGGCCAAUGCUAUACAUUUUAAAAGUUUCUUUUUUCUGAUAUUAUAGAAACCUAUUAUAUGUCAUGUAUUAAUCCCCUCUUCCAAAUAUUCUUAAGAUGUGAACUUUAGCAAAUUAAU